UACAGAGGUCCCGAGCGUUGUUCGGAUUCACUGGGCGUAAAGGGUGCGUAGGUGGUGAGGUAAGUCGGAUGUGAAAUCUCCGGGCUCAACCCGGAAAUGGCAUUGGAAACUACCUUGCUAGAGGAUUUGAGGGGGGAUUGGAAUACUUGGUGUAGCAGUGAAAUGCGUAGAUAUCAAGUGGAACACCAGUGGCGAAGGCGAGGCGCUGGACCCUUUCUGACGCUGAGGCGCGAAAGCCAGGGGAGCAAACGGG
rnacentral:rRNA from 1 species